GAUGAACGCUGGCGGCGUGCCUAAUACAUGCAAGUCGAGCGAACAGACGAGGAGCUUGCUCCUCUGACGUUAGCGGCGGACGGGUGAGUAACACGUGGAUAACCUACCUAUAAGACUGGGAUAACUUCGGGAAACCGGGGCUAAUACCGGAUAAUAUAUUGAACCGCAUGGUUCAAUAGUGAAAGACGGUUUUGCUGUCACUUAUAGAUGGAUCCGCGCCGCAUUAGCUAGUUGGUAAGGUAACGGCUUACCAAGGCAACGAUGCGUAGCCGACCUGAGAGGGUGAUCGGCCACACUGGAACUGAGACACGGUCCAGACUCCCACGGGAGGCAGCAGUAGGGAAUCUUCCGCAAUGGGCGAAAGCUUGACGGAGCAACGCCGCGUGAGUGAUGAAGGUCUUCGGAUCGUAAAACUCUGUUAUUAGGGAAGAACAAAUGUGUAAGUAACUAUGCACGUCUUGACGGUACCUAAUCAGAAAGCCACGGCUAACUACGUG
rnacentral:rRNA from 1 species